UGGGAAUUUUGGACAAUGGGCGAAANCCUGAUCCAGCAAUGCCGCGUGUGUGAAGAAGGCCUUCGGGUUGUAAAGCACUUUUGUCCGGAAAGAAAUCCUUGGCUCUAAUACAGUCGGGGGAUGACGGUACCGGAAGAAUAAGCACCGGCUAACUACGUGCCAGCAGCCGCGGUAAUACGUAGGGUCAAGCGUUAAUCGGAAUUACUGGGCGUAAAGCGUGCGCAGGCGGUUUGCUAAGACCGAUGUGAAAUCCCCGGGCUCAACCUGGGAACUGCAUUGGUGACUGGCAGGCUAGAGUAUGGCAGAGGGGGGUAGAAUUCCACGUGUAGCAGUGAAAUGCGUAGAGAUGUGGAGGAAUACCGAUGGCGAAGGCAGCCCCCUGGGCCAAUACUGACGCUCAUGCACGAAAGCGUGGGGAGCAAACAGGAUUAGAUACCCUGGUAGUCCACGCCCUAAAACGAUGUCAACUAGUUGUUGGGGGAUUCAUUUCCUUAGUAACGUAGCUAACGCGUGAAGUUGACCGCCUGGGGAGUACGGUCGCAAGAUUAAAACUCAAAUGAAUUGAC
rnacentral:rRNA from 1 species